rnacentral:rRNA from 1 species
AACGAACGCUGGCGGCAGGCCUAACACAUGCAAGUCGAACGGGACCUUCGGGUCUAGUGGCGGACGGGUGAGUAACGCGUGGGAACGUGCCCUUUGGUUCGGAAUAGCCCCGGGAAACUGGGAGUAAUACCGGAUAAGCCCUACGGGGGAAAGAUUUAUCGCCAAAGGAUCGGCCCGCGUUGGAUUAGGUAGUUGGUGGGGUAAUGGCUCACCAAGCCGACGAUCCAUAACUGGUUUGAGAGGAGUGAUCAGCCACACUGGGACUGAGACACGGCCCAGACUCCUACGGGAGGCAGCAGUGGGGAAUCUUAGACAAUGGGGGAAACCCUGAUCUAGCCAUGCCGCGUGAUCGAUGAAGGCCUUAGGGUUGUAAAGAUCCUUCAGUGGGGAAGAUAAUGACUGUACCCACAGAAGAAGCCCCGGCUAACUCCGUGCCAGCAGCCGCCGUAAUAC